rnacentral:lncRNA from 1 species
CAGGACGGGAGUCCGGCGGGUUACAGCGGAGGCCUAGGUGGCAGACAGGGGGCCCGGGCCGCUGCGUGUUGUCCACCCAAGAUGGAGUUCCUCCUGGGGAACCCGUUCAGCACACCAGUGGGGCAGUGCCUCGAAAAUGCCACACAAACACAACCAUGGGUAUUUAGCUCUACUGAAACAGAUGAGGGAAGUAAGGCUGACAGAGGAGCUCAAAUCAGUUCUGAUUUUUCUCUUCAUAAAAGAAUUUCCAUUCUGCAGCAUUCAUUCAGGAAGCACUCAUGAAGAGCCUACCAG